rnacentral:rRNA from 1 species
AUUGAACGCUGGCGGCAGGCCUAACACAUGCAAGUCGAGCGGAUGAAGGGAGCUUGCUCCUGGAUUCGGCGGCGGACGGGUGAGUAAUGCCUAGGAAUCUGCCUGGUAGUGGGGGAUAACGUCCGGAAACGGGCGCUAAUACCGCAUACGUCCUGAGGGAGAAAGUGGGGGAUCUUCGGACCUCACGCUAUCAGGUGAGCCUAGGUCGGAUUAGCUAGUUGGUGGGGUAAAGGCCUACCAAGGCGACGAUCCGUAACUGGUCUGAGAGGAUGAUCAGUCACACUGGAACUGAGACACGGUCCAGACUCCUACGGGAGGCAGCAGUGGGGAAUAUUGGACAAUGGGCGAAAGCCUGAUCCAGCCAUGCCGCGUGUGUGAAGAAGGUCUUCGGAUUGUAAAGCACUUUAAGUUGGGAGGAAGGGCAGUAAGUUAAUACCUUGCUGUUUUGACGUUACCAACAGAAUAAGCACCGGCUAACUUCGUG